rnacentral:tRNA from 1 species
GUGGUGUUAUGUGAAAUUAUGUGAAAGCACAAAAAUCUGACUCUUAAUCAGCAGGUCCCCGGUUCGAUCCCGGGACGGCCCACCA